rnacentral:rRNA from 1 species
ACGAGUGGCGGACGGGUGAGUAAUGUCUGGGAAACUGCCCGAUGGAGGGGGAUAACUACUGGAAACGGUAGCUAAUACCGCAUAACGUCUUCGGACCAAAGAGGGGGACCUUCGGGCCUCUUGCCAUCGGAUGUGCCCAGAUGGGAUUAGCUAGUAGGUGGGGUAACGGCUCACCUAGGCGACGAUCCCUAGCUGGUCUGAGAGGAUGACCAGCCACACUGGAACUGAGACACGGUCCAGACUCCUACGGGAGGCAGCAGUGGGGAAUAUUGCACAAUGGGCGCAAGCCUGAUGCAGCCAUGCCGCGUGUAUGAAGAAGGCCUUCGGGUUGUAAAGUACUUUCAGCGGGGA